GACUUCCCUGGUGGUGCAGUGGUUAACUAAUCCGCCUGCCAAUGCAGGGGACACGGGUUCGAGCCCUGGUCCGGGAAGAUCCCACAUGCUGCAGAGCAACUAAACCCGUGCACCACAACUACUGAGCCUGCGUGCCACAACUACUGAGCUUGCACUCUAGAGCCCACGAGCCACAACUACUGAAGCCCGCGCGCCUAGAGCCAGUGCUCCACAACAAGAGAAGCCCCCGCAAUGAGAAGCCCGCGCACCGCAACGAAGAGUAGCCCCUGCUCACCACAGCUAGAGAAAGCCUGUGUGCAGCAACGAAGACCCGAUGCAGCCAAAAAAAAAGGCAGCUGGAACGUGACUCUGGUUCCUGGACGGAGAAACAGGCCCAGAGACAUCAAGCAACAUACACCAGGUCACACAGCAGGAAGGAGGUGGAGCCGGACUGUGAACCCAACACCAUGCUGCUUCUCCUAACACCAUGCAAAGGCCUCACCCAGCCUUCAUGUGGACUCUGGGAGGAAGGCACUUACUACCAUCCCCAUUUUACAGAUGAAAACACUGAGCCCAGAGAAGUGAAUGCAUUUGCCCUGGUCACGCAGUGAAGGUGUGUCUGGCCCUGUAGUCCAGUGGCCAACGGAUCUCAGAGACAAAAGAAAUAAUAAUAAACAGGUCUGAUCUGUGA